rnacentral:rRNA from 1 species
GAUCCUGGCUCAGGAUGAACGCUAGCGACAGGCUUAACACAUGCAAGUCGAGGGGCAGCGGGAAGUCAGCUUGCUGACUUUGCCGGCGACCGGCGCACGGGUGAGUAACACGUAUCCAACCUUCCCGUUACUCUGGAAUAGCCUUUCGAAAGAAAGAUUAAUACCGGAUAGUAUCGAGAGAUUGCAUGAUUACCCGAUUAAAGAUUCAUCGGUGUACGAUGGGGAUGCGUUCCAUUAGGUAGUAGGG